CGGGGUGCAGCAGGCGCGAAAACUCUACAAUGCAGGCAACUGCGAUAGGGGAACAUCGAGUGGCGUCCAUAUUGGAUGUCUGUCCUCCCGCCUAAAAAGCGGGAGUUAGCAAGGGCCGGGCAAGACCGGUGCCAGCCGCCGCGGUAAUACCGGCGGCUCGAGUGGUGGCCGAUAUUAUUGAGUCUAAAGGGUCCGUAGCCGGCUUUGCAAGUCUCUCGGGAAAUCCAGCGGCUUAACCGUUGGUCGUCCGGGGGGUACUACAUUGCUUGGGACUGGGAGAGGUAGGAGGUACUCAGGGGGUAGGAGUGAAAUCCUGUAAUCCUUUGGGGACCACCGGUGGCGAAGGCGUCCUACCAGAACAGGUCCGACGGUGAGGGACGAAAGCUAGGGGCACGAACCGGAUUAGAUACCCGGGUAGUCCUAGCCGUAAACGAUGCUCGCUAGGUGUCACAACAGUCGUGAACUGUUGUGGUGCCGUAGGGAAGCCGUGAAGCGAGCCACUUGGGAAGUACGACCGCAAGGUUGAAACUUAAAGGAAUUGGCGGGGGAGCACAAGGGCGAAUU
rnacentral:rRNA from 1 species